GGACUUCCUAGCGCUAAAUAUGACUGAAAACAGAGCACAAGCACAGCCCAGAACAAAUCGGUACAUCUGGAAAGCUAUACAAAUGGAUUCAGUACCCAUGAGGAAAGCAUCCUAACGAAAGACUUUCAAAUUGCCUUGUUCUCUCCGUCUGCGAAGGAGAGCCCCGCUGUACCUCCCAAUUAAGACAGUAGAUCUGCCUGGUCACCCACCGCUCACAACACUUUCUGACUUAU